ensembl:lncRNA
CACAUACUUCUUGUUGGCUGGGGGACAAACAGAAGCAGAAGAGGACUGUCGCUGUUGUGGCAAUGGGCUCUGAUGGCCUGAGAUUCCAUCCUGGCUCCAUUGAUCAUCAGCUGUGACUUGAGACCAGUUACUUAGCUUGCCUUUCUCUCAGUUUCUUCAUAUGUAAAAUGGGAGUGAUAAUCAUAAUUAAUCAUAAUAAUAUCUACAGAUUAGAGUUCUUGGGAAGAUUAAAAGGGUCACUGCAGGUAAAGUUCAGCACGGAACAAGCACAAGAUAAAUGUUAGCGAACUUUAGUAACCAGUAGGCAGGCAGGUUUGGCAGAGAAUGUGGCUGUUUCAGGUUGCCAGGAUGCAGGUUGAGAUGUUGAUUUCAACAGUGAGUCCAGUUCAGCAGGGGCCGAGGUGAGUCAACACCCACCCCAACAUCCCAGGCACAUGCACACAGCUAAAGCAUGGCACCAGCCUUUCAGGAGGUAGGUUCCUACCUGUGGCUCCAGCUGCCCUCACAAUAUUUCAGGCAGUGCCCUCGGGUCCUCACUGGAGGGGGCACCUUAACUGGGUGAGCCUGCAGCUUUUCUGGGUGCCUAACCCCCACCCAGAGAUGAUCUGUGCCCCUUCUGUGCUGGCUUUGUUUAGGGGCACAGAGUGCAUUUGUUGGGCAGAGAUGUAUAAAGUUUUUUUUCCCCCCUUAAUUUUGUGGCAGGAUAAGACAGUUAAUCUGUUUUGACAUGCUAUCUAAAUGGCCCUCAGAUCAGUAUACGGAAGAAGCCAUCCAUAAGUCAUGUCUUUUAUACACAUGUACUGGUGUGUACAACAGGGAGAGUUAUAUUGGCUGCGAGAGGCAGAAUAAUAAUGGCCGUUAUUAUGGCGAAUUCAGGGUCGCCACAUUCACUCCACAUAUCAAAUCCUCUUUCAAUGAGGCCAGCUCCAUCAGCUGUCAGAUUCUAUUAAAUAUAUCCCUCAGACCCACUGACCAGCUGACAGGAGAGAAACUCAAAACCACACACCCCCCAUUAGCAUCAUAAAAUGUGAAGUCAGCUGGAAGGGAUGAUAACAGAACUGAAAACAGAAGAGAUGAAAAUCUGCAAUGCCCUUGUGUCCUCCUAAAUAGAAACCCCAAGAGUUACAAACACACCCAUAAAAUACCAAGGUAAAAACAACAGCAACAACAACAACAAAAACACGACAAAGAUCAUCCUGUUGUAUGCUUCAUAACACAGAAUGGUUCUUUUACCUUUUGUUAAUGUGAGAUUCGCAUAAAUGUUUCAUGAGGUUAAUACAAUGCAUAAACCAAAACGUUUAUUAGGCAACAUCUGUGCUGUUUUCCCAGAUAAUGCAAUGUUUCUUCUGAGUCAAUGAACUAUAACCUAUCAUAAGGUUUGGUUGUUAAAAUACUUGUACAAUGGUUGUGAUCAUAUUUAACGCUUUUGCAGAUGCUCUGGUUCUACCAGAGAAUUUCUUAAUCAGACAAGAGCUCAAGAUGGCUGGCACCUUAAAAGAAGGUGUAGAGGUUCCCUUGGAGACAGAGCAAGAGAGGAGAAGAAAGAUUUCUGUGAGCUGACUAGAUUUGCUUCUCUAUUUCUUCAAUCUAACUUUCUAAAUUUGGUUUUGUUUGCAGAGACAUUCACUUAAUACUUGAAGGAAAAAACAAUUAGAUCUGUACUUAGAAUCUACCAAGAAGCAGAGAGUGGGUCAAAAUGCCCAAUGGCUUUGUGCAGCUACAAUCCUAUCAUGAUAUUGGUUCCAUAUGGGACUCU